rnacentral:lncRNA from 1 species
CUGCUGCCGGCGCCCACCUCUCGGGGGUUCCGCAGUCCCCAGCUCACGGCCUGCACCGGCCCCCCGCCCCCGGCCCGGCCCGGCCUCCCGGCCACACCGCGGCAGCCGCUGCUGCAGCCCCCCAACCCUGCCCGGCGCGGCCCAGCCCGGCCGCCACCGCCACCGCCACCUCUAGCCCCGGCGAGUUUGAGGCGAGCGCUGGGCGCGCGGCGCCGCCUCGAUGUGCCUGGGAGCCGCCUUGGCGCCCCAGCCCCGCUGAACAGCCCCCUCUCGCAGCGGCCGGCCCGAGAGGGCCAGCGAGGAGGCGCGGCCAGCUCCAGAGAAAGAGCGAGAGAGAGAACGAGCCCGAUCGCGAGCGCAGGGAGCAGACACCAUGCCGGGCUGGAAGAAGAAUAUCCCCAUCUGCUUGCAGGCGGAAGAGCAGGAGAGAGGUGAGUGAGGCGACCGGGCCGGGGAAGGCUA